rnacentral:rRNA from 1 species
UACGUAGGAUCCGAGCGUUGUCCGGAUUUACUGGGUGUAAAGGGUGCGCAGGCGGACUGGUAAGUCAGAGGUGAAAUCUCGUCGCUCAACGACGAAACUGCCUUUGAUACUAUCAGUCUUGAAUCCGGUAGAGAUCUGUGGAAUUCCGAGUGUAGCAGUGAAAUGUGUAGAUAUUCGGAAGAACACCAGUGGCGAAGGCAGCAGAUUGGGCCGGUAUUGACGCUCAGGCACGAAAGCAUGGGGAUCAAACAG